AAAGCAGCGAUCUGAUUGGUUGCUAUGGGCAACUUCUCCUCUCCACAGGUUUUGAUGGAUUUCACCCAAUAGGCCUAGAGAAAGCAGCUUAGCAGAAGAUAAUAGAAGAUCAGGGAUUGCUCCCAUAAUCGGACCGUGAUGACUCCUCCACCAGUGAUGUAAUAGGAGGAAACCAUUGGUCGAUCCCAAAUGACGGAUCUAAACACAUAAGAUUUCCUACAACUGAUCUGCGACUCAUCUGCAUUGUGUGAACAGAAAAUACCCUGAAAAUAUAUCAGCCCAGGCAGGUGUUGCAGUCCGGGCACAGUAUUAAGUGACAUCACCGGGGCACUUCAACCUAAGACAAGGAGGGACCGGAGAAACAAAAGAAGAUGACAUCGACCGCAUCGCGCCGACGAAAACUUAAAACAACAGCUACUCCUAAAGUAAUUGUUCCAUCCGUCCACAAAGGCGAGUUCAAUAUUUAAAGGAACACUACUACCCGCCCCAAAACAUAUUUUAUAACUAUUAUAAUACAAGACAAUAGUUUAUUACCUUAUGGGUUUAGUUUUGAUUUAAAGGUUUUCUAAAUAUUAUUGUUUUUGAAAGUUGGGAAAUUUUUUGUUUCCUUGCGAAGGUGUCAAAAUAAUUGCAGCAGGUGAUUUCGAAGGAUGCAGACUAUAGCGUGAUGGAGGCACUAAUGUUUUCCCAUGUGAUCCCAAAAAGUUAACAAUCAUUUUAUAUGUAAUAUAUAUUUUUGAAAACAAUACAAAAAAUAGUAAAAAUUUUGGUUAACCGUUUUAAAUCGGGUGUAUUCUGCCCCAGUACUUAGCUAUUUCUCAUCACUAGACUGCAUGAAGUGCAUUAAGUUUGUUGUCGAAGCGUGCAUGAAAAGUAUGAGGGUAUGUUCCCACAAUGGGGGGUCAUAUUCAAAUCUCUUCAUGUCAAAAAUUUCGCGUUUUGCGCCCAAAUUUUGUUGCGAAAAAGGUUUUAUCGGAUAUUAGUGUCAACCUUCGAUCAUUUUUACUCUUAAUAUCGGAUAGAAACUUUUUCGGGCCAAAAUUUAGCAACAAAAACGUUUCCAUCAGAUAUUCAGGACUAAUCACACCGGUUUUGCACAAGUGGGUGUGGUUAUGUAAAUUUCAUGUUUUACAUUUCCAAAGGUUUAACAGUCCAUUUUACAUAAAAAAUUUCACACCAGCUCUUUGCUAGUGUAGAAAUCA